UUUUUUGAGAAUUUGAUCCUGGUUCAGGAUGAACGCUGGCGGCGUGCCUUAAGCAUGCAAGUCGAACGCUUGUGUGAAGCACAAGCGAGUUAAUAAAGUAGAAAGUUUAUAAAGUUUAUAAAGUCAUGUACUUUACAAACUUAGAACUUUACGAACUUUUAACUUGCUCGUGCUUUGCACGAGAGUGGCAGACGGGUGAGUAACGCGUAGGAAUCUACCUCUGGGAGGAACAUAGCUCAUCGAAAGAUGGGGUAAUUUUCCAUAGUCAAUUUAUUGUAAAGCGAUUAACUUCGCGCCGAGAGAUGAGCCUGCGUCCUAUCAGCUUGUUGGUGGGGUAAAAGCCUACCAAGGCGAUGACGGGUAGCUGGACUGAGAGGUCGAUCAGCCACAACUGCACUGAGACACGGGCAGUACACCUACGGGUGGCAGCAACUAGGAAUAUUGGGCAAUGGACGAAAGUCUGACCCAGCGACGCCGCGUGGAGGAAGACAGCCUUAGGGUUGUAAACUCCUUUUGAUAAACCUUUCACGGUUUAUAGAAUAAGCCUCUACUAACUACGUGCCAGAAGUCUCGGUAAU
rnacentral:ncRNA from 1 species